rnacentral:tRNA from 1 species
GACAAAAUGCCUGAUCAAAGGGUCAUCUUGAUAGGGUGAAUAACGUGUUUACACUUUUGUUA